AAUCAACGCUGGCGGCGUGCCUAACACAUGCAAGUCGAACGCGAAAGCCCCUUCGGGGGUAAGUAGAGUGGCGUCCGGGUGAGUAACACGUAGGUAAUCUACCUUCGGGUGGGGAAGUAACUCGCCGAAAGGCGAGCUAAUACCGCAUAAUGCAGCGGCACCUAAUGGUGAUUAGUUGUUAAAGCGGGGGAGUCGUAAGACCUCGCGCCUGAAGAGGAGCCUGCGGCAGAUUAGCUAGUUGGGAGGUAAUGGCUCACCAAGGCUUCGAUCUGUAGCUGGUCUGAGAGGACGGCCAGCCACACUGGCACUGACAC
rnacentral:rRNA from 1 species